rnacentral:rRNA from 1 species
UACGUAGGGAGCAAGCGUUGUUCGGCUUUACUGGGCGUAAAGGGCGCGUAGGCGGCAAUUCAAGUCAUCUGUGAAAUCUCCGGGCUUAACUCGGAACUGUCAGAUGAUACUGCUUUGCUAGAGUGCAGAAGGGGCAAUCGGAAUUCUUGGUGUAGCGGUGAAAUGCGUAGAUAUCAAGAGGAACACCUGAGGUGAAGACGGGUUGCUGGGCUGACACUGACGCUGAGGCGCGAAAGCCAGGGGAGCAAACGGG